UACGUAGGGUGCGAGCGUUAAUCGGAAUUACUGGGCGUAAAGCGUGCGCAGGCGGUUCGUUAAGUCAGAUGUGAAAGCCCCGAGCUUAACUUGGGAAUGGCAUUUGAAACUGGCGGGCUGGAGUGUGGCAGAGGGGGGUGGAAUUCCACGUGUAGCAGUGAAAUGCGUAGAGAUGUGGAGGAACACCGGUGGCGAAGGCGGGUCUCUGGGCAAUUCCUGACGCUGAGGCGCGAAAGCGUGGGGAGCAAACAGG
rnacentral:rRNA from 1 species